CUCCUUGAGGUCUAAGGGAUGCCUGAUUAGGGAAGUGGUGUGAGACUGUGAGGGUAGUGCCCCUGCCAGGGAACUCUGUGUGAUACAGAAGGAAGUAUGGGCCGUGGAGGGGUAGGCAGGUGGUCACUGUGUGUGGAACCGAGUGGCCAUGUUCAGCUGAACCAGGAGGGAAGAAGGGCUGAGGUGGGUCCUAUAGGAUCUGGGGCUGAUCCUAGAGCAAUGGGAAGCCACUGAGGGGCUUUACGUGCAAGACAGCAGGCACACCGACAUGCAGUAUCUGAAAUGCAAUCACUCUAGCGGCCAUGGGGAUCCUGAACUGGAAAUAGGUCAGAGUGAUGGCGGAGGUUGCUCAGGAAGCUGGAGACCAGCGAGAGAGGUGAAAGGAGAGAGGUGCAGAGAAGCAGAGGGAUGCAGGAGAUACUGAUUUCCUGCAAAGGCAUUUACACACACUGUUGGUGGGAAUGGAACACAGGGCAGCCUCUGUGGGAAACAGCAUGCAGGGUCCUCAAAAAGUUAAAACGAGGCCGGGCCCAGUGGCUCUCACCUGUAAUCCCAGCACUUUGAGAGGCUCAGAUGGGUGAUCACCUGAGGUUAGGAGUUUCAGACCAGCCUGGCCAACACGGUGAAACCCUGUCACUACCAAAAAUACAAAAAAAUGAGCCAGGCGUGGUGGUGGGCACCUGUCCCAGCCGCUCGGGAGGCUAAGGCAUGAGGAUUGCUUGAACCUGGAAGGCAGAGGUUGCAGUGAUCUGAGAUCAUGCCAUUGCGCUCCAGUCUGGGUGACAGAGCGAAGCUCUGUCUCAAUAAAUAAACGAAUAAAUAAAUAAAUAAACAAACUAGAGUUCCCAUAAGAUGCAAUGCAGACUUCCACUUCUGGGUUUAUACCCCCAAAGAAUUGCAAGCAGGGUCUUGAAGAGAUACUUGCAUGCUAUGUUCACAGCAGCGUUAUUUAUUCACGAGAUCCAGAAGGUGGAAGCAAUCCAAGUGUGCGUUUACCCCUGUGGUACCACAUACAGUGGGGUAUGAUUCAGACUUGAAAAGGAAGGAAACUCUGACAUACGUGACAUGUGAAGUGAUGAGCUUUGAGGACAUUAUGCUCAGUGAAAUAAGCUGGUCACAGAAAGACAAAUGUGAUGUGAUUCCACUUCUAUGGGGUCCCUUGGUCAGUAAGAUUCAUAGAGACAGAGGGUAGAAUGCUGGGUGCCGAGGACUGGGAGAGGGGAGACCGGGAGUUACUGUGGAAUAAGGACAGAGUUUCUGUUGGGCAAGAUGAGAACAUUGUGGAGGUGGCUGAUGGUGUUGAUUGCACAGCACUGGGAAUGUUUAAAAAGGACCAGUAAAAAGGCAUUGACCAACCAAGAUGUUAGAAACUGAAUUCUUCUCUCACUCUCUCCAGGUCCAGAGGGCAUGUGAAAGCUGUCUCACAAAGCAUGUGCUCAAAAAAAGAAGCAUAGCUGGCCAGGUGGCUCACACCAGUACUUUGGGAGGCUGAGGCAGGAGGAUUGUUUGAGUCCGUGAGUUGGAGACCAGCCUGGGCAACAUAGCGAGACCCCCCCAUCUCUACAAAAAAAUACAAAAAUUGGCCAAGCAUGGUGGUGCACACCUGUAGUCCUAGCUACUCAAGAGGCUGAGCCUGGGAGGUCAAGGCUGCAGUGAGCUAUGAUCACACCACUGCACUCCAGCCUGGGUGACAGAAUGAGAUUCUGUCUCAAAACAAAAACAAAACAAAAAAAGAAAAGUAAAAAGGUUGCAGCCUGGCGUGGUGGCUCACGCCUGUAAUCCCAGCACUUUGGGAGGCUGAGGAGGGUGGAUUACCUGAGGUCAGAAGUUUGAGACCAGCCUAGCCAACAUGGUGAGACCCCAUCUCUACUAAAAUACAAAAUUAGUCAGGCGUGGUGGCAUGCGCCUGUAAUCCCAGCUACUCAGGAGGCAAGGCUGGAGAAUCACUUGAACCCAGGAAGUGGAGGUUGCAGUGAACUGAGAUUGUGCCAUUGCACUUCAGCCUGGGUGACAGAGUAAGACUCCAUUAAAAAAAAAAAAACUUGCAAAGGAAGAGUGAGUUAACCUUUUCAGGCUCCACCAUACCCAGGCUCUUACCUUAGCAGAAGCCUGUGAAGCUGGUAGCAGAAACGAGAAGGAACGAAAUUAACUCCAAGGCAGUAAGCCAUCCACAAGACCACUACACGAAGUUAAGGCUGUGUGAAAGAGGGAGUUUAUUUAAUUUUAUUGUUAAAGAGGCAAUAAAAUAUCUAGAGAAACAGUCCAUUAAAAAAUUGGCAAAUCCAGCCUGGCCAACAUAGUGAAACCCCAUCUCUACAACAAUACAAAAAUUAGCUGGGUGUGGUGGCGCAUGCCUGUAGUCCCAGCUCCUCAGGGGACUGAGGCGGGGGGAUUGCUUGAGCCUGGGAGGUCGAGGCUUCAGUGAGCCAUGAUUGUGCCACUGUACUCCAGCCUGAGCAAUAAGAGCGAGACCCUGCCUCUAAAAAUACAUUAAUUAAUUUAAAAAUUAGGCAAAAGAUGUGAACAGAUACUUCUCCAAAGAAGGUAUAUGGGACCAGGCACGGUGGCUCAUGCCUGCAUUCUGGGAGGCUGAGAUGGGCGGAUCACCUGAGAUCGGGAGUUUGACACCAGCCUAGCCGACAUGGUGAAACCCCAUCUCUACUAAAAAUACACACACACACACACAAAUUAGCUGGGCAUGGUGGCAGGCCCCUGUAGUCCCAGCUACUCAGGAGGCUGAGGCAGGAGAAUCGCUGGAACCCGGGAGGCGGAGGUUGUGGUGAGCCGAGAUCGUGCCACUGCACUCCAGCCUGGGCAACAGAACAAGACUCUGUCUCAAAAAAAAAAAAAAAAAAAAAAAGUAUGGGUGACAAGCAAGCAUAUGAAAAGAUGAUCAAUGUUAUUAUUAGGGAGCAACUUAAAACCACAACGAGCUAUCACUACACACCUAUUCACAUUCCUUAGAAAACAAAACUGACAAUAGCAACUGUUGGUGAGAAUGUGGAGCAACUGGAACUCUCUUAUGUUGCCAAUGGCAUGCAAAAUGGUACAGCUAGAAGGGUGUGGGGGCUUGUGCCUGUCAUCCCAGCACUUUGGGAGGCUGAGGCAGGAGGAUUGCUUGAGGCCAGGAGUUUGACACCAGCCUGGGCUACACAGUGAGACCCCCAUCCCUACAAAAAAUGAAAAAUUAUCAGAAUGUGGUGGAACAUGCCUGUAGUCCCAGCAAUGUGGGAGACCGAGGCAGGAGGACCCCUUGAGCCCAGGAGGUAGAAGCUGUAAUGAGCUAUAUCUUGCCACUGUACGCCCGCCUGGGGAACACAGCAAGACCCUGCCUGAAAAUAAAUAAAUAAAUAUUUUUCGAAAGAUUAAAAAAAAAUGUUACAGCAGCUUUGAAAAACAGCUUGGCAGUUUCUUAUAAUGUUAAGCUACACUUACCACAGGAUCCCCCAAUCUCAUUCCUAGC
rnacentral:lncRNA from 10 species